rnacentral:rRNA from 1 species
CUACGACCUCAAGAUCAGACGUGGCGACCUGCUGAAUUUAAGCAUAUUUACAAAGCAGAGGAAAAGAAACUAACCAGGAUUCCCUCAGUAACGGCAAGUGAAGAGGGAAGAGCCCUGCACUGAAUCCCCGUCUGGCGGCAGGCGCGGGAAAUGUGGCGUACAGAAGACCGACUCCCUGGCGUCGCUCAGGGGGCCCAAGUCCUUCUGAUUGAGGCUCACCCCGCGGACAGUGUUAUGCCGGUAGCGGCCCCCGGCGCACCGGGAUCCAGUCUUCUCGGAGUCGGGUUGCUUGGGAAUGCAGCCCAAAGCGGGUGGUAAACUCCAUCUAAGGGUAAAUAAGGGCACGAGACCGAUAGCUAACAAGUACCAUAAGGGAAAGCUGAAAUGAAUUUUCAAGAGAGAGUUCAAGAGGGAGUGAAACCGUCAAGAGGUAAACGGGUGGGGUCGGUGCAGUCCACCCGGAGGAUUCAACACGGCGGGCAAAUCGGUCACCCCGAACGGCGGAUCCCCUCGCGGGACCGCCGCCCGGGCUCACCCAGCCCCCGCAGGGCACAUUUCUUCCAUGGCAGAGCACCGCAACCGGCUUCAGGUCGACUGGGAAGGCCCCCGGGGGGCAGGUGGCACUCUGCUCCAGCGGAGAGUGUUAUAGCCGCAUGUCAGCAGUUUUGCCAGGUCCACGGGGCCGAGGGAGAUUGACCUCUGCCGUGCCCUUCUCCAGCAACCGUCCCAGCCCCUCUCUGGGGUUGCGGGGUGGUGACGGGGGAUGGGGCCCCCUGCUCCCAGUGCGACUGUCGACUGGGGUGGACUGUGCUCAGUGCACCCCAACCGCAUCACACUGCCGGGCGGGGAGCCAUGAAGGACGCGAGGGUUCUGCGGUGAUGCGGUUACCCACCCAACCCGUCUUGAAACACGGACCAAGGAGUCUAAAUCGUGCAUGAGGUGCAGAUCUUGGUGGUAGUAGCAAAUAUUCAAACGAGAACUUUUAAGGCCGAAGUGGAGAAGGGUUCCAUGUGAACACAAGUUGAACAUGGGUAGUCGGUCCUAAGAGAUGGUUGAGCGCCGUUUGGAAGGGAUGGGUGAUGGCCUCCGUUGCCCUCAGCCGAUCGAAAGGGAGUCGUGUUCAGAUCCCCGAACCCGGGUUGGCAGAGACGGGCGCCCUCGCGGCGUCCAGUGCGGUAACGCAAACGAUCCCGGAGAAGCCGUUGUAGCCCCAGGGAGAGUUUUCUUUUCUUUGUGAAGGGAAGGGCACCCUGCAAUGGGUUCGCCCCGAGAGAGGGGACCGAGCCUUGGAAAGCGUUGCAGUUCCGGUGGCAUCCGGUGAGCUUUCGCUGGUCCUUGAAAAUCCGGGGGAGAUGGUAUAAAUGUUGCGCCGGGCCGUACCCAUAUCCACAGCAGGUCUCCAAAGUGAACAGCCUCUGGCAUGUUGGAAAAACGUAGGUAAGGGAAGUCGGCAAGUCAGAUCCGUAACUUCGGGAUAAGGAUUGGCUCUAAAGGCUGGGUCGGUUGGGCUGGGGCGUGAAGCGGGGCUGGGUGCGUGCCGCAGCUGGAUGAGGCAUCACCACCUUUGGCGGUGCUAAGUCUGGACGCGAGCCAGGCCCUUCCUGUGGAUCGCCCCAGCUGCGGUGGUCGCCUCUCUCCGUUCCCCUGAAGGGGAACGGAGAGAGCAUUGCGAAGUCCCGCGGUGGGUGUUGACGCGAUGUGAUUUCUGCCCAGUGUUCUGAAUGUCAAAGUGAAGAAAUUCAAUGAAGCGCGGGUAAACGGCAGGAGUAACUAUGACUAUCUUAAGGUAGCCAAAUGCCUUGUCAUCUAAUUAGUGAUGCGGAUGAAUGGAUGAACGAGAUUCCCACUGUCCCUACCUACUAUCUAGCGAAGCCACAGCCAAGGGAACAGGCUUGGCAGAAUCAGCGGGGACAGAAGAUGCGUGCCUCUAGUCUGGCACUGUGAAGAGACAUGAGAGGUGUAGGAUAAGUGGGAGGCCCUCGGGCCGCCGGUGGAAUACCACUACUCUUAUAGUUUUUUCACUUACCCAGUGAGGCAGGGGGCGAGCCCCAUGGGGCUUUUGCUUCUGGCUCCAAGCACCCGGCGCCCGCAGUUGCGACACGCUCCGGGGACAGUGGAAGGUGGGGAGUUUAAUCGGGGUGGUACACCUGUCAAACAAUAACGCAGGUGUCCUAAGGUGAGCUCAGGGAGGACAGAAACCUCCCACGGAGCAGAAGGGCAAAAGCUCGCUUGAUCUUGUUUUUCAGAAUUAAUACAAACCAUUAAAGCGGGGCCUCAUGAUCCUUCUGACUUUUUGGGUUUCAAGCAGGAGGUAUCUGAAAAGUUACCACAGGGAUAACUGGCUUGUGGUGGCCAAGCGUUCAUAGCGACGUCGCUUUUUGAUCCUUCGAUGUCAGCUCUUCCUAUCAUUGUGAAGCAGUAUUCACUAAGCGUUGGAUUGUUCACCCACUAAUAGGGAACGUGAGGUGGGUUUAGACCGUCGUGAGAAAGGUUAGUUUUACCACCUUUAGCCACCUCUCUCAAGCGUAGUGCACCGUAUGUUUGUGGGGAACCUGGUGCUAAAUUAUUCGUAGACGACCUGACUCUGGGUCAGGGUUUCGUAAGUAACAGAGCAGCUACCA